UGGCGUCUGCGAACAAAGGAACAUCGAAGUUUAACCACGUUUGUUAUAUUUUACGCAUAAUGAAACACUAAACUCGUGCCUAACCUCAGCGACAGGUCGUGAUCUGCAGACCAGAAUCUUCUUGCAUCUGUGUCUAUGUUAUCUGAUCCGGACGUCUAUUGCGCAUGUGUGAUGUGUGUCAUAAAGCAGAGGCCCAUAACCUUCUUGGCCAGAGGGCCAUAUUAAGAAUUCAACUCGCUUUUCAAGCCGGAUAAUAAAGACGUUUUUGAGAUACCUGAAGCAGCUUCGUAAACAACAAUUUACCAGUUCUGUCUGCGCUUUUAGCGAUCCCCUGAGGCGUGUCGUGGUGUACCGAUUUACAACACGUCAUGGUAAGACGAUGCCCCCGUUUGAGGCACCGUUUCAUCCUGUCGUCUGCAGGAGAACUGCGUUUCCAUGCAUGUGUCAACCGUUAUGCACACUGAGAGAUACAGUGUCCCUGAAGAGGAUGUCGUUAGGCUAGCGGCAACACGUCACAGGUCGCUUGGAAGAUCUCCACAUAGAAGAAUAACAUGAAAACGAAUCUGAGGAACGUAAUGUGAGGGUGUGGUCUGGAUUCAUUCGGUUGAGAAAGACAAGCUGUUGUGAACACUGUAAUGAACGGAAAUUAUUGUAUUCUGGGAUGUGAUAUCGUGUAACUUGGUAGGCCCUUACUAAAGUUUCAGAGGAAUCUGCUAUUUCUUUUUUAAGAGUAUCUUCUGGGAUGUGACGCCGAGUAGUCUGGUAGUUUGUUACCAGUUAUUCAACUGAGCCUCUUGACCCCAUUUUCAGGAUAGGAUAUGAAGGCAGUAAGUUAACUAGACGAAACUGUUGCCUCUAUCUUCAGACUAUAUUCUGAUAUGUAAUGCACUGUGUAUUGGUACGUCGUUAAAGUAAUUUCAGAGGAACUUGCCUCAGUUUAAGGGCAAUAUUUGGGUAUAAGUUUUUUUUAACUUGUGUGAUUGAUUAAAAGUUGUGCUUUAAUUUUUUCA